rnacentral:rRNA from 1 species
GACGAACGCUGGCGGCGUGCUUAACACAUGCAAGUCGAACGGUAAGGCCUUCGGGUACACGAGUGGCGAACGGGUGAGUAACACGUGGGUGAUCUGCCCUGCACUUUGGGAUAAGCCUGGGAAACUGGGUCUAAUACCGAAUAGGAUCAUGGCCUUCAUGGGUUGUGGUGGAAAGCUUUUGCGGUGUGGGAUGGGCCCGCGGCCUAUCAGCUUGUUGGUGGGGUAAUGGCCUACCAAGGCGACGACGGGUAGCCGGCCUGGGAGGGUGUCCGGCCAAACUGGGACUGAGAUACUGCCCAGACUCCUACGGGAGGCAGCAGUGGGGAAUAUUGCACAAUGGGCGCAAGCCUGAUGCAGCGACGCCGCGUGAGGGAUGACGGCCUUCGGGUUGUAAACCUCUUUCAGCAGGGACGAAGCGCAAGUGACGGUACCUGUAGAAGAAGGACCGGCCAACUACGUGCCAGCCGCCGCCGUAA